UACAGAGGGUGCAAGCGUUGUUCGGAAUCAUUGGGCGUAAAGCGCGUGUAGGCGGCUUUGCAAGUCGGGUGUGAAAGCCCUCGGCUCAACCGAGGAAGUGCGCCCGAAACUGCAGAGCUUGAGUGCCGGAGAGGGUGGCGGAAUUCUCGGUGUAGAGGUGAAAUUCGUAGAUAUCGAGAGGAACACCGGUGGCGAAGGCGGCCUUCUGGACAGUGACUGACGCUGAGACGCGAAAAGCGUGGGGAGCAAACAGG
rnacentral:rRNA from 1 species